UUAUCUUUUACUUUGUGAAAAGGUCUGGGAAGGAAAUGAUCUGGGCAUAUGAAGUGGUUUGCUGACUUAUGAAAGAGUGAUCUAUAAAUGACCUAUCUGGCACCGAUAUAGCACAUGAUUUCCAGCAAUUCUGCAAGAUGAGUGAAAGAUGAAUUGAAGCAGAGAUUAAAGGCUGGAAUCAGUUGGACAGUGGGAGCCAAUGAGAGUACAAAAAAGAAUGGUCUCAGUUGGAUUAAGGUAUACAGAAGAAGCAAAAAAGACAUAAGACAAGAUCUGAGAUUCAAAGAAGGUAUCUGAAGAUACAGCUUGGUUAAGAUCUGGCAACACAGAAGCUCUCUAAUGGCUAUGCCAGUUAUCCACUACUGCAAAACAAACUAUCCCAAAAUUUAGUGGCUAAAACAAAAAACACUUUAUUACUUUUCACAACUCUGUGUUGACUGGGUUCAGAUAGGUGGUUCUCACUUGCAGCCAUCAAAAGGUUGCCCUUGAAUACCAGCUGGGGAUAGAACAUCUACAAGUUCAACUGGGCUGGAUGUCCAAGAUCACUUACAUUAUACAUUUUUCAUUUAUAUUGAAAAAAGAGCAGAAGGCAAUUACUAUGUGAAUAUUUGUCAAGAUACUAAUUUUACUAUGUUGCUAAAAUAGCAGUUGAUAUUAGCUGUUAACAGCUAGGGCUGUCAAACUAAAAUGCUUACACAUAAUAACUCCAUGUUGAUGGCCUUAGGAUAGGCAGACUUCUUACAUGGUGGCUCAGGGGCAUCAAAGCUGAGCAUUCCACUUUGGCGUGGUGGUGCACACCUGCAAUCCCAGCACCUGGG